CCGGCCAACUACCAGCAUGGCUGACUCCGGUCUGUGGGCGGAGGCGUGUGCAACCCUUCGGCCAUGUUGUUCUGGCUAAAGGUUCGAGGAAAGGGGAGAGAGUUUUUGUGUGACUCACCUCCGCGGCCCUCGCUGUCAGCUGGCUUCACCUGGAUCGGCCGAUUCAUCUGAACAACAGAACAACAACAGAACAGAGGCGGUCAGCGCGGAAAAGGCUUUCUAUCUCACGCCACCUUCCGUAAGCACUCCUGAUUUGGGUUUUGGCCGUCUAUCCAUGCUACCAUCCAUCCUGCUCUACGGAGACAUUGAUCAGUCCCGUCUUGUCCAUUGAUUUGGGAUUCUGUUGUUGGUGAGGUUUGUGAAUCCAUUUGAGUGUGUGUGAUAAUCUGAUGAGUUUCUACAUCAGCGAGGCAGAGAGAACCAAAGGAAAAAAAGAGAAGCAGCAGGUGAGAAGAACGCUCUGCUGCAACACAAUGGCAUCGGAAAAUUGGCAUGGCAACCAGCUCGUUGUCAUGGCAAUCAUAUGACGGCACACUGGGUAGGUAAACAAAGAUGCUACUUGCCAAGGGUGCUUGCUGUGCUCUGAGGGUAAACAAAGAAUUAGUGCUGGAGAAUGGUUAGCUAGUGGCUUGGUACGCUCUUUCACCCCCACCACACACACACACACACACACACACACACACACACACACACACACACACACACACACACACACACACACACACACACACACACACACACACACACACACUUUCUAUGGGAGUUUGGAACAACAACAUAUUGCCUGAGAAGAAGUAAGUGAGCAGAGCAGGAGGGAGUGCGAGGUGCGCGCGUGCCCAUAGAUCAGCCUGACUGUUGUGUUCUGUCUUGUCUUGUUGUGCUUAAGUCAAAUCUUGGACGGGUGGUUCUGAAACUGUAAUUUCGUUGUACUGGGACGCCAGUACAAUGACAAAUAAAGGUCCUCGAUUCUUCUGGUAAUAACGAAGAGCUGGGGCAGAGGCCCGAGGAGGAAGUGUGUAGGAGAGAGAGGGUGGAGGAACAGAAUCUAUAUUUGUGUCAUUUAAAUUUUACUUAAUUCUGUGAGAAAAACGCAGAGCAUCCAGUUACUGGCACAUCAGUCCGUCUUUUAUUUUAAUCCAACACACGAGAACAGCCACACACUCCUUUCUUGUCAAAUUAUCCUAAUUACUCACGUUCCAAUUAAGGCUUAAUUAACAGUAACCAUCUGCAAACGAGCAUGUAGACGGAGAGGGCGUCAGACUGCAGCUCGCUCUGAUCCGUGCUGCAGAAUACUAAGAAGCCCUCGCCGAGUUUCUGCCUUUCACAUGAAAGUGAAUUGGUAUGUGAGGCGAUGCACGAGGGCAUGUAUGUGAUAUAUGAUGGGAGCGUGAGCACACUCACUCGGCAGAGCCACGUGCACUCAUGCAUGCACGGUUGAAUCAUGAAUGCAAACAGAGCUUCAUUUGCAUGCUGUGGGGACGCCAAAAAUACACACAGUACAUGACACUCCUCUCUGCACACACACACACACACACACACACACACACACACACACACACACACACACACACACACACACACACACACACACUGUCGUGCAGUUAUUCCCCUCUCCCUCUGUCCUUCUGGUCACACAGAAACAAACACAUACUACACACUUACAGUUAAUCUUGCUCCCUGCAGUAACGCAGAGAGGAUUGUACCAGGAUUAGAGGAUAUUAAAUCCUUGGAUUAUCCAAUCAAAUGUUAUUUUCCGCCUCCCCCUCCCACUCAAAACCAGUGGACCGAACCAACACACCAUGAUGUGAGGGACAGGAGCAUUACGUGUACGGACACAUGUGCAGAACUUCUGGUCGUUCAUCUUGUUCUCUCUUUUUGCCAAAAACACUAAAGGGAAGCUUUCUGCGACAGAAACAACCUGAAUGCAGGUCACAUAAGUAGGCAACCUUUGCAUUCGCCCUUCCCUUUCAGUUUCCCUCACAAUUUCAAAAGUCCAUUAUCCAAAGUGCUCAAGGAUUGAAAACUAUUUUUAUCCCUUCUCCACGACGUAGCCUUAUUUCUGCCUCUGCCUCUCUCGAUCCCCUCUCAGCUCCAUAAUCCAACCACAGCGCCGGACGACGACGACAUCACAGGUCUGCUAGCUUUUGUGGCCCGUUUGUUUCUUUCACACGUGCAACGCACACACACACACACAUUCAAGCUCAACAUCAGUGUUCCAAAUGAGUGUAUUUUACACACGAGCAAACGUGACUGGAACUAAACUCGUGCAGCUCGUCACGCUUCAACGGUGGACCGUUUUUAUCUCGCUGGAAACUGAAGGAAACACUUUAUCCUGUGCUAAAUCCUAUUGGUGUGUUUUUGGGAAUGUGCCGCAGCUGGACGACGACGCUGAACUGUGAGAAACAGAGAGCGAGUGAAAAGGUGGACCAGCGUUGCAGCUCCGCCCCUGUGCUUAUCGUUUCCCUGUACCGCCACACUAGGCAUUGCAUCCCUGAGGUUCCCUAGCAACCUGGCAUCUUGCUCAGCCUCGUUGCUUAGCAACACCGGCCUGCAACCAUAAUAAAAGCUCAUGCAUGGCCCAUCCCCCUACACUCAUCCCUCGCUGCUCUGUCACUCUCGUUUCAUUCUUCACACCUGAGGAGUCUGCCCUCCCUCCGUUAUCGGGCUGUUAACCCUUCAUCGGCCUCUCUGAUGGAGCAUGAAUUAACAUUUCUUUUACGUUGACCCAUCCACUUUCAUAUUGAUAAUAAUAAUACCCAGCUUUGGACGAAGCCAGAGUAACCGCCCUGUUGAACUGUAGCAUUUGUGUCUUUUUGUCCAACGUGUAACGAGAAAAUUCAGCAUGCAGCAGUAGAGCACUCACUGAAAUUUGAUCCUUUGGAUUUAGUUCAGCGUAAUCCAGCAGCACUAUAGUGGAUAGCUGCUAGACCCAUGCACUCGGACUUUUUUCUAUUUUUGGGAGGGUAAGUCCUUUGGGAAAUGAGCUUGUGAAUUAAAAAGCCUGCUCAAAGCCACACUAAUUCAUGACUGCAGAAACCUCGUAUUCAGAGUUUACACUCAGCCCGUGACGCGUUUAUGAAAGCUCAGAUCCUUUAGACUACUAUCUUAUGGUACUAGGCAUUACUUUUAAAGAGCAAGUCACAUCAAAAUCAACUUUUUUUUAGCUGAUAACUAGUACAAAUGAGUGUCUAAGGCCUAGUCCACACGUAGCCGGGUUUUUUGAAAACGAAUAUCCGCCCCUCCAAAAACUUGCAUCCACACCACCUCGUUUUAAAAAAACUCUGUCCACACGUACCCGGAUAAAUACGUUGUUAAGGACAUGCCAGACCUGUAGGCGGCAGUACUUCCCCCGUUUUUAACCUCGUCCUUCGUCUGUGGUCUUCCGCAAGGAGCAGUAAUUCCUCUUGCAAAAACAAACGAGCAAAAAGCGCUUGGACAAUUGAUAAAGCGAGCGCAGCUCUGAGGGCUUCCAUGCUGUCGGCUAGUGUAAACACAGGUCGCACACGUGAUGUCAGCAUUUUUUUUGUCGUGGAAAGUGACGUUGCGGACCUUAAAACUCCGGUUUUGUCUGUCCACACGCAGACACCCAAAACGGAGAAAACGCAGAUCUUCACUUUGGCCGGAGUUUUUAAAAAGAUCCGUUUUCGUGUGGAUGACAGGCCAACACGUAGAAAAAUAUCUACGUUUUGGCAGAUCUCCGGCUACGUGUGGACAGGGCCUAAUAGUGUUGUAGACAUGUGUAGAUAUUAUUUUAGCAUUUUGAUGCAUUUUCUUUGAAAACUCUAAAUCCUGUCUAAAAACGUCAGUCUAGCGCCCUCUUCAGCUCAAAAGUAUAGAACAGGUUUGUUUUGAGUCGGUUUUAGCCAGUGGCUAACCAGAACGAUGCUACGUAUCCAAGAACAGUACUACGUAGCAGCUCUGUGGCUGUGGGCUAUAAAAGCACUGCGGUCUCAACCAGCCUUGUAGCAGUCGGGGCUCGGAUUGGCCGCUAGUGGGUUGUGCUGCAGUUAGCGUUAGCACUGUGUCAGAAUCUCAGCAAAGCUUCUAGCAUUAUAUUUAUUUACUUCUAGUAGCUUGACUGUUAGAUUGUAGUUUAGUGUUUUUUUACAUGUGAGUCUUUCGCCAACUGGAUGGAGUUUGAACCGGUUAUGCUGGUUUGAAGAACAUUUCACAAAUUAGUCCAAGCCGUUCCAGUAAUUAGCCGAAUCCCGCCAACUGCCGCUUCCCCAAAAAGGAGAUUUUGGGCCCAAUCUGAGCUGAGUAAGUACACCCAUACAUAUAGUAUGAGGACAUAAUUAGAAGAAAACAGCAGUACAGCUUCGCUUUGCAACGAUGACUCAACGAUGUGUUUGAAGAGAUCAGACCAGAGUGGACAUGUCUGUCUGGGAUGGCGCUGAUUCUGAUAGAACGUGAACGCAGAAUGAGCUCAAACACCUCAGCUGUCAUCACAGUGGUCAGAGGGGAACCACGGGUAAAAUAAUCCCAGUCACAUCAUUAAGCCUACGACUAAAGCCCGGGUAAUUCUGGAACGACCAAAAUUAAAUGUGUAGAUUUUGAAGAAUAAAACAAGGCAACUGUAAGUGGAAUGGUGGAAUACCAUUUUUAAUAUUUUAGCCUAUAUUUUUGUUUUCAUUUUAUAUUAAUCAAAGUUUGUUGCUAAUCUGAGGAUUUCUACAUCUUACCUAAUGUCCAAGUGAGAAUCAGGUAAUUCAGGCCCUGAUAAAGGAGGAUGAUUUUACAGUUUUCUUCGAUUGCUAAAACUCAAAAAGCAAAAGUGAGGCACAAUUUUUACAACCUCUACUUCUGUUCCCAAUCGCUUGACUCACUUUAUCACUACUUAAGAUUUCCUUAUCGUAUUAGAACUCUGAUUUUCCUCCUUUAUACUCUGAUGUCAAUUUCACAUUACCUUGCUGUCAGAACACAGCACACAAUUUUCAGGUUUACACACACUUCUCACAUAAAUUCUGAAAGCUUCAAUCAACACUCAAAUAUUCAAAUCUCUAAACUUUCAGGUCUGGCGAGCAAUUUGCAAUUAGAGAUUGCAGCAUAAAAGUAAGUUUCCACAAGGCUGCCCAGGUGUAUGAGUGGUUUCAGGACCACCCACGGUUUUCCAUUUUAUACCUUCCACCUUAUUCCCCCUUCCUCAAUCCCACUGAGGAGUUUUUAUCAGCCUGGAGGUGGAAGGUGUACGAAAGGAAUCCACAGAGCCAGGUCCCACUCCUUCAAGCCAUGGAGGAGGCUUGUAGAGAUGUGGCCUUUGAGACCUGUCAGGGCUUCAUGAGGCACUCGGGGCGGUACGUCCAGCGCUAUUUGGACCAGGAGGACAUCGCCUGUGAUGUUGAUGAGGCCCUCUGGCCAGACAGAGACCGGAGGCAUGAUGCCCCAUGAUUAUGCUUGAAUGGGAGAGGGGGUGGGGGGUUAACUGUAAAAAUAAAAUGUUUUGUCUCAAAAUUUGUGUGUGUGUGUGUGUGCGUGUGGGGGACUUUAAAAAUACAAUUUUUGUCUCAAAAUGUGUGUGAUGUCUAAUGUUUGUCUCAGAGAAAAGUGGGCACUGUCAUACAUUCAGUGUGUAAUGCAUUGGGUUCCAUUUAGACAAUUGUGUUUUCAGUUUUGCUCUUCAGGGCUCUUUCCAUGCUUGGUAGUGUUCACCCAAAGGCUACUUGUGUUUAAGCAAUGAAUGGUGUGUGUGUGUGUGUCAUGUGAAAAUGUGGCUGUGUUUACCAAAUGAAAACACGUGUUCCAUUUUGGGAACAUGUUACGAUAUGUGAUGGCAGGGUUUUGUGUGUGCAGUUUUGAAAAACAUGUUUUAGCAAUCGACAAAAACUGUAACUAACUGUAAUUACUUUAUUUAUUCAUGCAAGAGCUAUUUAUUAUCUAGUUUGUUCCAGUUUACAUUAAAAUACUUUCUGUUAAAUAGGGAGGCACAAUUAUGAAUUUUGAAACAGUGGUUCACUGAUGUUUAUAUGUGA